ACUCUGUGGUGAGAAACAAUCCUCUUAUCAAAACACGUAGGCUUGAGAGUCAAAGCCCAGGCCCUCCCUUUCCGACAGGUCUCCCUAAUAAGUCAUCAGAGAUCCUCAGUAGACAGAGUCAAAGACUGAACCAAAAGCCCAAAGACACAGAGGAAAACCCAGACACUCAAGGAAAUGAAAUUAAAGACGAAAUUGUGUCCCAAAAAUCCCACAUGGUUUAAUCAGAAUGUAAAGUAGGGUAAGGGGAAAUCACUGCUGUGGCGCUAAUAUGACUAAGUUGCUAUGAGAGAACUCGGUGAUGGGACGGGGGUGGGGGCGGGGAACGGGGGCGGGGAAAAAGUCCAAUGAGUAAGCAGCUGAUUUGACAGAGGUCACCGCCCACUCUCCUUAGCCCUACACAGGUAUCCUGAACAAAUGCAGGUUUCGCAAAGGGGACCCUGAAGGGAAGUCGUGAGUAAGAAGAGGUUUCCGCCCUCCCCUGUCUACCCUCCCCCGUCCCCUUCUCCAGUUGCCUUCCCACUUCCCACUUCCCACCUCAUAUCUGCUACAGCCUGCCACCCUCGCCCACAACUCCAUCACGAACUCCCACAGGACCUUCCAGCAGGGCUUUGUGGAUUCUGAUUAGGUCCUAGGACCUUGAGCUCGAGAAAUGUGCCAGGUCCCCCAACCUCAGUAUACCACUCCAUGGCAGCAAUGGCCAUCAAAACUCUCUUUGGCAUCAGGGGACGUGGCCAGAAGAUUUGGGAGGACUGAACUUCUAGACGAUGCCCAGCUGAAGGCAUGGCUGAGUACUGUCAAUUUCUUCUAUAACAACUGAGCAGUUUUAAAAUUUAGGCUAUAAAUAAUCAGCACUGUCUAUUCUUUUGGUCUUAACUUUAAAAUAUAUUUAUUCAUUUACUUAUUUUAUUUAUUAUAUUUGCAGGGAGGGGACUUGUGGGCAUGCCACAUGCAGGUGAAGGUCAAAGGACAACUUUCAGGAGUCAUUUCUCUCCUUUUACAUGAACUCAGGUCAUCAGAUUUGGCAGCAAGCACCUUUACCCACUGAGCCAUCUUGCCAGCCCUUACACAUGAGACCUUGUCUCUGAGAAAAUGUACAAACAAACAAGCAAACCACUCUGAUCUCAAAGGGAAAAAAUAGAAGCAUAACCCAACUGUUAGUUAUAGUGGUUUCAUGUAUUUUGUAUAACAUUUAAAUAUGUAUAUUUAUUGGUGUGCCUAUGCCAGUCUGAACACCCACUAUUCCAAAUUUAAAUAGGACUACUUAUAACUAAAGGGAUGAAAUUUAAUGGCAUCUCCAAACACAGCAAAAGCAGUGCUCAGAAUACUUUUUAAAAAAAAAGUCUCAAUAUUAAUUUAUGAGUCUCAGAUGUCAAUAGCCUGCAUAGCGUUCCCAGAACAGUGCUUUAACCUAACCGCCAGUGUUUGCCACACUCUUUUUUUUAAACUUUAUUCCUUUGAAGCUGUAAUGUUCUUAGUAGAUGCUAUUAUGCAUUGAUCUCUAAAAAUAUUCACAUGUACAAUGAGAAAUAAAUAAGGGAAAAAUAAAUGAGAUUAUUAAACGUAAGAACAAGAAAAAGUAUCUGAACUCUCCAGUCAUACUUGCAAAAGAACUGAGCAAAACUAGUAAAAACAAACGGCCUAGUUCUGCUCGCAAAGGCAGUCAUCUAACUUGUGUGCUUCAUCGCCUUUUGAGAGUUAACAUGGAGCAGCUCCUGCUCAGGCUGUCUCCUCCCGUCAGACCUACUGUGCCUUCUGCCGGUCAUGAAAACUCAGCAGGAGCAUGGGAAGGGCAUGCUCAUGGGAAGGGUAUUUUUGCAGCUGAAUCCCAAUUACUCGGGGGGAGCAUCUGGUAGGGUGAGAAAAUGUUGGAAGGAAAACACAGACCCCCAGACAGAGCCACGCAGCAAACCUCCCUGCCUGAAAGCUGACACGCAGCGCGGUCAGUUCUCUGUGGCUCUGCGUUCUGGGCACUUGGCAGAGAAAAGCACAGAAAUAAGAGGCUUAGCUGGAAUCAAAAUAGUCAGUUUUGGGGCUGGGGAUUUAGCUCAAUGGUAGAGCGCUUACCUAGGAAGCGCAAGGCCCUGGGUUCGGUCCCUAGCUCCAAAAAAAAAGAACCAAAAAAAAAAAAAAUAGUCAGUUUUGUUGGAUUUUCUGUUAUGACCAGGCCAACAAAUUGUCAUAAAAACUUUCCCAAGGCUAGGGAAGUCAGCAAGACCUUCAGAAGCAAAUGCAGAAUCCCCCCAGAAACCUGAAACCCACUAUAAAAGCUCAGGCUAGCCCCAAGCUCAUGUCAGUCGUCCUCUCGGCCUCUGGAGUACUGAGAAUAGAUCUGUACCGUCGUAUCCAGCUAGAGAAGAACUGAUCUUACGCUGGACAGAAACUCAUCCAUCAGUUAGCCUCAGCAAAAUUAAAAUCACUGGGUUGCAGAGAAGGCUCCUUCUACCAGAAGCCUGUGGUUUGGCUCCCAGCACUCAACAGCCUUCCAUCACUCCAGUUCCCAAGGAAUCUAGUGCCCUCUGACUUCUUUGGUCACCCCAUGCAUGCGGUACCCAUAUAUAAUACGCAGGGCAAAACACUCGUUCACAUAAAUAGAAAUAAACAAACCUUCUAAAAUUAACAUUGCCACAACAGACAAAACAAACAGAAUACAUUCUCGCAGCCUGCCUCUGAAGGUUUACGUGAGUGUGUUUAGAAACAUAAGGAGCCUUUCUGCAGCCCAUAGUUCAGAUCAACAGCACGUAUGCAUGGCAAGUUUGCUCCCCAAGGGUCAUCUGAGAGCUGGUUUUGGCCAUCAUCCCCUGGUGCUAGCUCUGGGAUCCGGUCAGAGACUGUGGAUCCUGCCUUUGCACUCUGUGGGGAUGCACACUUGGAAUCCCAGUGCUGAGGAGACAGAGGCAGGGGCAUGCCUAGGCUCACUGGACAGCCAGUCUAGCCUGUUUAGAGAGUUCCAGACCAGUGUGAAACCAUCCGUGUCUCAAAUAAAGUGCUGAUUAAUGGGAAAACAAACAAACAUCUAGUUGUAGUGCACAGAGAUGCAGCAUAAAACACAGAAGCACCUGCUCCAAUAUGCAGCUGGUAAAAGAAAUUAAAAGGCUAUCUAUCUAUAUCUCUAUAUCUAUUCAUAUAUAUAUACAUACAUAUAUAUAUAUAUAGAGAGAGAGAGUCAAAAAGAAAGCAGUUUAAAACCUACUGUGCUAAUCACUUAAAAGUUUACCACAUAUUAUCACAGAUAAUAUGUACAAUGAUCCAAACAAAAGCUACGCAAGACCUUAAUGGAAAAAACAUGAAUUAUUAAAAAGACAUUACUAAAGGCCCAGGUAAAUGGAGAGCCAUACUUUAUUCAUAAGUAAGAAGAUUCAGUAUAAUAAAAAUAUUAGGUGCUGGGGCUGGAGAGAGGGCUUGGAGGUUAAGAGCACUGUUUGCUCUGCCAUGGGGCCUGAGUUGGAUUCCUGGCACCCAUGUGGUGGCUCAUAAUCCCAGGAAACUCCAAUGACAGGGGAUCUAAAGGAUCUGAUCCACAACUCUGGCCUCCUCAGGCCCUAGACUGCACACACACAUAUACAGGCAAAACACCCAUAUGCCUGAAAAAAAAAAAAAAAACAGUUCCCUCCAAAACACCACUGAGUAGAUUAAAGUAAAACCCUCAUCUUCCCAGGCAGCAAUAGGAUCAGAUUAGGAAGGGCACCACCGCACACUGUGCUUUCUGGUGACGGGCUAGAAGCGGCCCCUUCAAAUUCAGGCUCGAGCCUGAAGACAAACAUUGUAUUAGACAGUUUACUGAAGGGCAAAGCCAGGGCAGUGAGACCAUAAGAAAUAGAACAUAAUCAAACAAAUAACUGUAAUUACUCGUGGACAAUAAGAUUUCCCAUGGAGGAAAAGCCAAGUCUCCCGACAAGCCAACCAUUAGAUUAAGGAGAAGGCAGUGGGCUGGGGAUUUAGCUCAGUGGUAGAGCGCUUACCUAGGAAGCGCAAGGCCCUGGGUUCGGUCCCCAGCUCCGAAAAAAAGAACCAAAAAAAAAAAAAAAAAAAAAAAAAGGAGAAGGCAAAGUUUUGAAAUCUGUGAUAAAUAAAAACUAGUCAACUGUAAGUCUAUAAACUAGCAACAAUCAUGAAAAAUGUAAAUUUCAAAAAGAUGCCAUCUAAAAUAACAACGACACUUCACUGUUAGUAAUAAGACAUUUAAAGGGAAAUCACGAACAUCACUAAAGCGUUAAGCAGAUGGUUAUAUAUAUACCAUGAGAUAGCCGUGUGUGUGUGUGUGUGUGUGUGUGUGUGUGUGUGUGUACUGGUACACACGCAUGUGUGUGUGUGCACAAGUGUGUGGAGACCAGAGAACAGCCUCAGGUGUCACCCUCAAGCAUCAGCUGCCAUGAUUUUUUUUUUUUUUUUUUGAGGCAAAGAUAGUUUCUCACUGGCCUGGAAUUCUCUAAACAGGCUAGGCUGGCUGUCCAGUGAGCCCAGGCCUGCCCCUGUCUCUGUCUCCCCAGCACUGGGAUUCCAAGUGUGCAUCCCCACAGAAUGCAAAGGCAGGAUCAGCAUACUCCACCUCACAGUCUCUGCCCAUGUGCGAUUAAGUUGGAAAUCACUAAUGAGUCACAAAAACUCUUAGUGAGUUUGGGAAGUGGAAUUUUAGUUUCUGUAUCUUCUGGACAGAGCCUCUACCAGGUACAAGUGCUAAAGAAAAGAAAAACGGGUGGGGGUGGGGGUGGGGGUGGGGGUGGGGGUAGGGGAGAGGGAGACAGUAUAAAAAUUGCACACCAUGGGGAAACUUUCAGAAUUUCCUUUCUAUUUAUGUAGAUGGAUAAACCUUAGAAGAAUAGCUAAAGACUUCCCAAAAGUACCCACAAGGACAGGUCAGAUUUUACUAGCUCAAAUGAUAAGAGUAGGCUUUGUGGAAGCUAUAGGAGUUUUUGUUUGAUUUCUUUUGAAACAAGAGGCUUAUGUAGCCCAGGCUGGCCUUAACAUUGCAUUUUUCAAAUUAUGUUUUUAGUCCUCCUGAGUACUGAGAUUACAGGGUCAUGUCACUGUACCUGGGAUAUGGUUUGGUUUUGUUUGUUUGCUUUGGUAUUUUUCUGAGACAGGGUCUCACUUUGUGACUCUGUCCUGGCUCUCACCAUGAACGCUGGCCUUGAUCUCACAAAGGUCUGCUUGCCUCUGCCUCACAAGUGCUGGGGCCCAGCACCAAACCUGCUUUUGCAGUGCAGUGACUGAACUCAGGCUUGCUAGGUUAGCCCUCUCCCCAAGGAUACACGGAGGGAUGAUCUCUUGUGCGCUGAGUGGAAGAACCAGCUGUCAGUAAGAAGCUGAGUGGCCAACAAGCUGAGGCCGGAUUAAAAGGUGGGACAUACACUAGAGAGAUUGGGAUUCUGGGGGUAAAGUCAGAGGCACAGAGAUUCACCCCUAAACAAUGAGGAAGAUGGUCACUUGUAAUGAAGGACGUUGGCAUGUGUCUAUUUAGAGUAAAAUAAACGGGCAAUUAAAUUCUGAGCUAGUCAGGGAACAAGCCAAGGCUAUCAUUUAACUACCCCUCUGUUUCAAACAGUACUGCUUCUAUAGCCAGACAGAACUGGCAUCUGGCCUUUUCUAGAUUCUACAGGAAUUCCCCCUUUCUUCUGAUGAAAUUUUUUCAUUGUCUCCCCUGUUUUUCCACACCCACAUAGUUCCCCAUUCGGUACACAGUGUCUUUAACCUUAACAACCAGAGCACUGAAAACCUAAAGCCAGUCUCAGUUUCAUUUCUGGAGCAAGUCAUGAGAUCAUCAAAGUACCUGCUUAAAAUAGCAACGGUUUCAGAAAAGGAGACCGGUCUAGAGACAGAAUCACUUUAGGCCUUUCGGUGGUAACACACUUGAUAUCUGUAUUUCCAAAAUGGCUGAAAGUGCUAAAGAGGCUCUAAGGUCCUGGGGCUCCACAGGUCUCCUUGCCUAGAUUGCAGCAGAGGCAACUUGGUGGUCAAACACUGUUUAGACAUGAGUGUGUGACUCAGAACUGGCACUAGAACGCAAAAGGGAUGGAUGAAUAAGUUACACAUAACAGUGCCAGGAAAUGAUCUCACCACCACCCCUCCUGGAAGACUGGGUUUCUCUUCCUGAAGCCCUGGAACUUACUCUGUAGACCAUGUUGGCCUCAAACUCCGAGAUCUACCUGCCUCCACCCCCUAAAGGGCUAGCACCCCAUGAAGAAACGACCUGCAUUCAGUGUUGAGUUCCCUUCACUCUGACCCACUCCUUGGCAUGAUUCCUAAUGGAUCCCCGUCCCCACAAUGCAUGCGCAAGUGCGUGCAUGCGUGCGUGGACGACUGAAUAUUACUCGGCUUCAAGAAAGAGAAGACUCUGCCACUUGCUACAUGGAUAAAAUGAAAGGAAAUUAUGUGAAAUGAAAGAUGAAAAAUAUAGGAAAAUUUUUGCAUGAUCUCAUUUAUACGCAGACUUUUUUUUAAAGGUUCUAUACCGAGGCAGGGAAUCAACAGUGGUUUCCUGGGCCCAGGGUGAGACAGGAAAUGGGCAGGUCAAAGGAUAUAAAGCAACAGUUAGGCUGGGUGAGUGAAAGACUAAACCACAUCAGAGAACUAUAGUUGGCUAAUUGUUCUCCCGACUUUUUGCUCUACGUGUUUUGUGCUGGAAAUUUUUGCUGAAAUUGAGUUGUAUUUAGGAUUUCUGUUCUAAGAGUAGAUUUAGAACUACUCUUGCCACAGAGGGGAAAAUGGGUAGCUAAGUGGGACAACUGACCUGUUCAUCUGUCCUACCGCAGAAGCAACUAUCUUAACAGAUUCUGUACUUUAAAUAUGCACCAGAACAUUUAAAUAAAAAGAGGUCUUUGUAAA